CUCAAUUGGAAAUGCUAUAUUUAUCAUAUAUGAAUUAUUUGUUCUGUCUCAUUGUAGCCUCUUGCCCCAGUACCAUAUCAACUUAGGUUCUCCCAAGAUGCUUCCUGUUUUUUCUCUUACUUCAAUGCCUUUCCUAGUGCUACAAUCCAUCUCAUUUUGAAGCAUACCACCUCUCACCACUCUCUGUCUCUAUUGUUGCUGGCAUUUGCACAGUCAGUAAGAAUAUUUUUUAAAAACACUUGAAAAUUUUUGGCAGUCAGCAGGAAUAGAUAGGGAGUAGCGAAAAUGAUGAGUACAUUCCUGUCUGUCCCUAUGCUGUGGUUUGGAGGUUAGCUAUUUGAGAUUACAUUCUUCACAUUCCCUGGGCCCUCUGAAGCCAGGAUCAGAGAGUCAUACCUGCUGGCAGAAAAGGAGAAAUGCUGUACGAGGUUUAUGAAUAGGUCAGUUUGGUAUACAAACUGAAGCCCUAAGUGGACUGCUACUACUAUUGCAGGAACACAGCACACAAGAAAAGGUGUCUGUCUUUCCUGUGUAAUGGACAGGUUUUGAAUCGUGGGCCCAGAAGGAUUGUCUGAAUUAUAAGGAAUGUCCAUUUGUGCUUUAGCAACUUGAAGCUUCAGUGAAAAGAAUCAGAACACAGAGAAAACUUGCUGCUAGGACAAAAAUGAAGGAAAGAAUCAUCCCAGGAUGGUGAUACUCGGGUUACAGGCUCACAGGCAGAAGGGACUUGGCCUUUCUCAGAUGAGACUUUGGACUGUGGACUUCAGAGGUAAUGCUGAAAUGAGUUGACUUUGGGGGGACUGUUGGGAUGGCAUGAUUGGUUAUGAAAUGUGAUGACAUGAGAUUUUGGGAGGAGCCAGCUACCGCUCAUAAGGUUUCACUCUCUGUCCCCACUCAAAUCUCAUCUUGAAUUGUACUCCCAUAAUUCCCAUGUGCUAUGUGAGGGACGCAGUGAGAGAUAAUUGAAUCAUGGGGGCAGUUUCCCUCAUACUGUUCUUGUGGUAGUGAAUAAGUUUCAUGAGAUCUGAUGGUUUUAUCAGGGGAAACCCCUUUCAUUGGCUCUCAUUCUUUUUGUUACCACCACCAUGUAAGAAGUGCCUUUCACCUUCCACCUUGAUUGUGAGGUCUCCC
rnacentral:lncRNA from 10 species